CAAUAAGUAGUUUAUUUAAAAUUUAGGUUUUGGGAAUCUAAGAAAUAUUUUUAUAUUUUA
rnacentral:tRNA from 1 species